CGGAUCACUUAAAUAUGUUUUCUGUAUGUAAUUCAUCAGUUUGAGAGGGACUUUUAUUUUGAUGGCGUAUCGUGACGUCACAGGUCUGCGCCGCGGUCCGGUCUGUUAUUCGGCUGAAGAGAGAUAAACUCCUGCUGAAGCACACUGUUAUAAAGAUGGAGUUUAUUAAAGAGGAGAGUGAAGACGUGAAGAUUGAAGAAGCACUCAAACAUGAAGAGACCGAGGAACAAACAGACCUGAUGUCGCUGAAAGAGGAGAUUCCAGAACUGAAUGAAAUGGAAGAGAAAAAUAAUGACUCUAUGACUGGGGAAAAUUCUUCUAGUUUCUCACCGACUCAUAAAACAGAAACUAAGAACCUGGAAGUCCACAAUGAAGAGAGUCAUUUUAGCUGCCAGCAGUGUGGAAAGAGUUUCAGUCGAAAACAAAGCCUUACAACCCACUUAAAAAUCCACAGUGGAGAGAAGCCGUUCUUAUGCCCUCAGUGUGGAAAGAGUUUUACAAUGAAGAAAACUCUUCGUGCCCACAUGAGCAUUCACACUGGAGAGAAACCUUACUCCUGUGAACUGUGUGGGAAUGUUUUCUCACGAAAGGAAAGUCUUAACGUUCACAUGAGAAUCCACACUGGAGAGAAGCCCUACCCCUGCCAGCAGUGCGGGAAGAACUUCUCAGUAAAGGGAAAUCUUAAAAUUCACAUGAGAAUUCACACUGGAGAGAGACCAUUUAUAUGCCCUCAGUGCGGAAAGAGCUUCUCACUAAACAGGCAUCUUAAAGUUCACAUGCAAGACCACACUGGCAAGAGGUUGUUCAUCUGCUCUCAGUGUGCAAAGAGUUUUAAGCAGAAAAAAGAACUUGAUGCCCACAUAAAAAUUCACACUGGAGAGAAGCCUUACUCCUGCAAACUGUGUGGAAAGAGCUACAAAAUCAAAGCAAUCCUCAAGAUCCACAUGAGAGUUCACACUGGUGAAAAGCCUUUCGUUUGUGAUGACUGUGGAAAGAGUUUCAGAUAUAAAGAAAGCCUUAAUCAUCACAUGAGGACUCACUCAUCAGAGGACUGUUUUAUAUGUCAUCAGUGCGGAAUGAGUUUCUCAGACAGGAAUCACCUAGAGAAUCAUGUUAAAAAUCAUGUCGGAGCGAAGCUUUUCAUGUGCCAUGAAUGUGGAAAGAGUUUCAAACAUAGAAUGACCUUUGUGAAUCACAUGAGAGUUCACACUGGAGAGAAACCUUUCACCUGCCCUCAGUGUGGAAGGAGCUUCACAAUUAAAGGACACUAUGAGUAUCACAUGAGACUUCACACUGGAGAGAAACCUUACACCUGCCCAGAUUGUGGAAAGAGCUUCACAAAUAAAGGAAACCUUAAUACUCACACGAGAGUUCACACUGGAGAGAAGCCUUACAAGUGUCCUCAGUGUGAAAAGAGCUUCUCAUAUCACACAGAACUGAAACGGCAUGUGCAAACUCAUUCUGGUGAGAAAUUGCUGUUUUCCUCAGUGUGACGAUAAGUUUAGAAAAAGGAGCAAUUUCAACAGUCAUUGUUGCAUUCACUCUAGACAGAGACAAUUAAGUUGUGUUCAGUGUAAUUAAAACAUCAAACUUAGACAUAGAAAUGGAAAGUCAUUAACAAACCAGAUUCCCAAAAAAGUUGGGACACUGUACAUAUUGUUAAUAAAAACAGAAUGCACGAAGUGGAAGUUUUAAAUUUCAAUAUUAUAUUCAGAUUUUAAGGGGAAAAUAAGUUGAUUUUAAAUGUCAUGGCAUCAACACAUCUUAAAAGAGUUGGGACAAGGCCAUGUUUACCACUGUGUGGCAUCUCCUCUUCUUGUUAUAACAGUCUGCAAACGUCUGGGGACUGAGGAGACAAGUUGCUCAAGUUUAGGAAUAGGAAUGUUGUCCCAUUCUUGUCUAAUACAGGCUUCUAGUUGCUCAACUGUCUUAGGUCUUCUUUGUCACAUCUUCCUCUUUAUGAUGCACCAAAUGUUUUCUCUGGGUGAAAGAUCUGGACUGCAGGCUGGUCAUUUCAGUACCCGGAUCCUUCUUCUACACAGUCAUGAUGUUGUAAUUGAUGCAGUAUUGAAAGAGAUGACGUCUGGAUGGGAGCAUAUGUUGUUCUAGAACUUGGAUAUAUAUUUCAGCAUUGAUGGCGUUUUUCCAGAUGUAUAACUCCCCAUGCCACACACACUCAUGCAACCCCAUACCAUCAGAGAUGCAGCUUCUGAACUGAGCGCUGAUAACAACUUGGGUUGUCCUUGUCCUCUUCAGUCCGGAUGACAUGGGGUCCCAGUUUUACAAAAAGAACUUCACAUUUUGAUUCGUCUGACCACAGAACAGUUUUCCACUCUGUCACAGUCCAUUUUAAAUGAGCCUUGGCCCAGAGAAAACACCUGCGCUUCUGGAUCAUGUUCCUGUAUGUGAUGCAGUGCUGUCUAAGAGCUGAAGAUCAUGCGCAUCCAGUAUGGUUUUCCAGCCUUGUCCCUUACACACAGAGAUUGUUCCAGAUUCUCUGAAUCUUUGGAUGAUAUUAUGCACUGUAGAUGAUGAUAACUUCAAACUCUUUGUAAUUUUUCUCUGAGAAACUCCUUUCUGAUAUUGCUCCACUAUUGUUCGCCGCAGCAUUGGGGGAAUUGGUGAUCCUCGUCCCAUCUUGACUUCUGAUAGACACUGUCGCUCUGAGAGGCUCUUUUUAUACCCAAUCAUGUUCCCAAUUGACCUAAUAAGUUGCAAAUUGGUCCUCCAGCUGUUCCUUAUAAGUACAUUUAACUUUUCCGGCCUCUUAUUGCUAACUGUCCUAACUUUUUUGGAAUGUGUAGCUCUCAUGAAAUCCAAAAUUAGACAGAAUUUGGCAAGACAUUUCAAAAUGUCUCACUUUCUACAUUUGAUAUGUUAUCUAUAUACUAUGGUGAAUAAAAUAUGUUUAUGAGAUUUAUAAAUUAUUCCUUUCCUUUUUUUACUCACAAUUUGUACAGUGUCCCAACUUUUUAGGAAUUGGGUUUGUAAAUGUGAGACCGUGUUUGUGAGACCGUGAAAGAGUUCUGUCACGAUAACUCUCGGAGUGAUUAAAGUAACGUAAUGUAUUUGGUCUUAGUGGAAUAGAUCUGUUACGCUGCAGCAGUACAUGCACAACAUGCUGCUGUGAGUGUGUAAGAAAUACUGCUGCUGCUUCACAGAUAACACACAUGAAUAUCCCCCAUAGCAUACAUGAACCACCUCAUAGCAGAUCUAUACAGGUGGAGCUGGGGAAGGUGGAGGGUUUCUGAAGCAUGCUGCGACUGCUAAGGCAAGCUCUACUCAUAUAUUUGAAUGUUGAGCAGUGAGCUUAUUGGCUACCAAUACAGGAGAGAACCAAUCAGCUGUGUCAUUUGAUAAUGAUGUCAUUAGGUCAGAUUGAGUUAGACCUAUUGGACUGCGCCAUCUAGAGUCUCAUGCCAGAACUCUGUAUUUAAAGAGUCCCCUUUCAAAAAGAAAUCUAUUCAAGUGUGCUGUUGGUAUACACUUUAAAACUAAAAAUGGGAAAGCAUAGUUUUUUACUUUUUGUUUGCUUCACUGAAAUAUAAAUAAAAUUACUCUUAUAAGUGAUUAAUAAUGACAGAAAAGUCCAAGUAUAUUUGGCCUUUACUUGUACUUGACCUUUUGAUGAAGAUAUACUGAAAAUUAUAAUUUUAAGUAUACUUUGCUUGUAUUUGUGUUAACUCUUGAUUAAGGAGCAUUUUAUAGAUGUAUAUAGUGUCUUAUAAACUUACAUUUUUUGAAAACUGAAUUAUAAACAAAACAUUUUCCUAAUUCUAAGUUUUGAAGAAUUUAAUGAAUUUGAAUUGUAUUUUUGUGCACCGGUAAUGUACAAAUUAAGUUUCAGAAAAUCUACUUAACUCUUUGCCCGCUGUUGACUAAAAAUGACCAGCAAUCCAUCUUCUUCAGGGCUCGACAUUAACACUUGUCCGUUUGUCUGGGACCAGUGGAUUUUGUGAAGGGGCAAUUACAUUUGUGAAAAAAAAACCUUUUGUUUGUGAUUGAUGGAUUUACUUGUGAGCCCUGUUCUGAAUGAAUCUCAGAUCCACAAACACAGCUGAAGAAGCAGAAGCAAGCAAAGGAAGCAUUGUUUACACAUAGAUAAUAAUGUGCUCAUCAGACAUUAACCCAUGAAGAGUUCAACACUGCAAAGCUUUGGGGGUGUUGAUGGACUCGAUCUACUCCAUCUGUGUCCUGAUCAUCAUUCAGUGUAAAUAUUAUUCAGCUUUUUAUUCGUUUGUUUAUUUUUCUGGAAUCUACACAAUCCUGAGACAGCCAUGGCUGACAGUUUUCUCUCCCGAAUAUCUUGUACCACUAGUGAGGGUUUGGCCUGGAGCAAGAACUGCUUCUUUAGUUGUCUUCAGCUUCUCAAGGGGUCUCUAAAACACAUUUGGAUGCACGCCUUUCCACCGAAUGCCACCAUGACCAAGACUAAAUCAGCUGCUGGCGGCUCUAAUCUUUCUGCAAUAGUAGCUGUUGAUUAUAUGUUUCUCUUCUUGUGUUUUUGAGUAGGUAAUCCAAUAACAGAAGCUAGUGAUUAACACCAAUAUGUGAUGCGUCUGCAGGACAAUCAACCCUGCUUGUGCAGUAGAUGGAGACACCAUGGGAAAUAUAUUGUGAUAAAAUAAAUGAGGCUAGUGAAUAGUAGCUUUGAAAAUUAUGUCACACACUCUACAAAUCAAUGCCCUAACUGCAACAAUGGAAGCACUGGUUACAUUUGGGAAUGUUUUUCGUUGGUCCUCUUUGUGUAUGUGUUCAUGGUUUCUUUGUUUGACAGCCUGUCAAUAUUUCACAUUUCAUUUUGUUUGGCAGACAGUCAAAAUCAAUUGCUUUAAACCACCAUCAACACAAUCCUUAUCAGUCACCAUUCUUUAAAAUAAUGCACUUUAACAGAAAGUUCAAGCUUGAUUUAAUUAAUUCCCCUUGUAUUCUGUGGAGAAACUUAGAUGGAUCAGAUGGGUAUAACUUAAUAUCAUUUCAUUUAAUAAAUCACACAGUAGAUGUCUCUGCAGCCAUAAACUUAAUAUUUAUCUUUGCAUUAUUAAAAUUAAACUGUAAUGUGGAGCUCAAGACACUUGAUUUUAUUCAUUAUUGAGAAUAUCACGGCCGCUUUGUUGUUGCUAUUAUAAUUAUGAUCACUUCACAUUUGCUUACAAUUAGAGCCAGAAGCUUUAGUAAUGAUCUGUUAUUUAUCCUUUGAAACAGUCCUUUAUCUUAUAAUUUAAAUGGGGUUUAUGUGUGUGAAUUUCUGUAAUUUUUAGCAUGUGAAUAGGACUUUUAUUUUGGUGGAGCAAUGUGAUGUCAUUAGGCUGCAGUUUUGCAUCUGUGAUUCUGCUGAAGAAAGAAACAUACUAAUACAGUGAUUGCUGCAUCAGAGGACAUCGGCAAGGCUGUCCUGGCUGCUCUUCCUGGGCUCCCCACAGAUACAUUGGCAUCCUUGAUGACAGGCCUGGAGAGCCUUGGUGUGCAGAGCAUGGAGGACCUCUUCUAUUUGAGGGAAGAUGAUCUUCUGAUCUACCUCCGUCCAGUCCAGUGCAGAAAACUCAUUUGUGCCUUCACACCAAAAGAUCCCUCUUCAGCACCAUUUCCUCCAGGAAGUCCAGAACCCUCCUCAGCUCUGUUUUCUGUGGAAAGUCCACAAACCUCCUCAACCUUGUGUUAUCCAGGUACACCCGGACAAUUCAACACUAGAGGAAGACUUCUUCCAUCACCACACACACCAUGGCCUGCAAAGUUUAAAAUAAACUGGGAGAAGAUGCCGUCAGAGGUACAGCUAUCACAAAUUCAACAAGACCAAAUCCAGCAGCGAGAAGAGCAACGGUCAGAUGUCUUGUUGAUCAGAUGAGAGACCACAAUGCAAACCCUAAAAGAGGGUCUCUUCCGGGUCUGUUGUGACGCUGCAGUGACGCUGCUUUUCUGGCGCACCCAAUAAAAAAGAAAACAUGUCAGCAGAGUCGUAGUCACAGCAGUCGUGCUCACAACAGACCCUGAAGAGAAGACAAUGCUGAAUAAAGUCUUAGUUUUUGAUAUUUUUGGACCAAAAUGUAUUUUCGAUGCUUCAAAAUAUUCUAACUGACCCUCUGAUGUCACAUGGACUACUUUGAUGAUGUUUUUCUGACCUUUCUGGACAUGGACAGUAGACCGUACACACAGCUUCAAUGGAGGGACUGAGAGCUCUCGGACUAAAUCUAAAAUAUCUUAAACUGUGUUCAGAAGAUGAACGGAGGUCUUACGGGUUUGGAGAGACACAAGUCCAUUUUUAAAUAUAAACUAACACGCCUCCACAUCCCUAUGUCUCUAUGUGGAAAUAUUUGUGUAAUGCCACCCAAGUGUUCACCAAAGAAAGAAGCCGUGGUUUCAGUAACCACAGUUAGUGUUGAAGCAGUCAUGUCAGAGAGAUGUGUGUGGAUCUAGGAGGAAGAAAAAGCACUUUAUUUGGCCUUUCGAAAGUAGAUGCAUUUAGGAAUUUUUAAGAUUAUUAAAACAGAACAGUAACGCAUUUUAUGGACAAACGUUUCGUGAACCUAGGAGAGGAAGUCAUUCUGACUUUGCUACGACUAUCUGGCGAUUCUGAAUCCGCUAACGUACUGUAACGUUAAGUAUGUUUUGUUAUUAGUUUAAGUAUUUGCUAUUGCACCCUGAACAUAUUUCAAGUACAAAGUUUCCUUCCUUUAAUCCCUGUUAAUAGUUGUUAGGAAAUACUGUAAUUCAACAUAAGCCUAUUGCAUCCAUUAAAUGCCUACUCCAAAUUAGCAAAAACCAUAGGAUGACUUUGUCUCCCACCCGAUAAAAUUGGUACUUUCACCCAUCAUUCAAUUCAAUUCAAUUCACGUUUAUUGGUAUAAUGCUUUUUACUAUACUAUUCAUUGCAAAGCAACUUUACAGAAAAUUAAGUUUCUACAAUAUUUAGUAGUAGCAUAUGAGUGGUGACUGAAAUGCUAAGUGCAGACACGUGGAUGAUGUCCAUAGAAGGAACAAUUGUGAUGGGUCCCCACAACAGCCUGCUGAAUGGAGUGGCAGCGACCUUUGCUGACUACUGUGUUUAACUUGCAUUAUCCCAAAGAUGCCUCAAACACUCUUGAAUUUGUCCAAAGGUAUGUUUAAACUGUUUGCACACUACCGUAUUUUUCGGACUAUAAGUCGCACCUGAGUAUAAGUCGCAUCAGUCCAAAAAUACGUCAUGAUAAGAAAAAAAAAAAAGUUGCACUGGACUAUGAGUCACAUUUAUUUAGAACCAAGAACCAAGCGCCCUCUCGCGGCUGGAGACGGUAAUGUUGUCUCUUGGUUCAUGUGAAAUUAAUUUUGAUUAAUAAGUCGCCAGCCAAACUAUGAAGAAAAGUGCGACUUAUAUUCCGGAAAAUAUGGUAAUAAAAAUAAUAGAACCAUCAUUCUCAUGUGGAGCUACCCAUGAAUCAUUUUCUUUUUAUUCAGUAUUGUUAGACUCUUUGAUAUACUCUAUUCAUUGAUGUCAAAAGACAAAAGACUAUUCAAUCCUUUGCGUCUUUUAUGUACAUUCGUAAAAAUUUGGCAAAGAAACCCUAAUUGGAGAGACGGGGCAUAGAGGAGAAACAAUAAUGUGUUUUUUUAACCUUAAACCGCAUAAACACAUUUCAUUACACCAAAUACACAAAAUAAUGUUCUUUUUAGCAAUGUCAUAUGACCCCUUUAAGGUACGUUGCAGACACUUUUGUCCAAAGUGAAAUACAAUUUACAGUGCAUACAGUGGCAUUACAUAUUUAAGAAAACAAUGUUAAAGCCAAUGUGAUUGUAAAUGUUAAGUUGUGUUAAUGUUAAAUAAAUACAUCAACGUCAUUUAUUUUUCAGCGACCAAGUAGGAAUAGUUUACUUACUGUUUUUGUUUGUUGUUGUUUUUUACACCAUAUUCAUCAUUAACAGAUAAGAAAACUUUUUUCAAUCUCUCUGUUUUCAGAGCUUUUUGUGGAAUCAACUCCCAGUUGGGUAGCAAAGCAGAGAAGAGACAUGGACUCAACGCCCCUGUCUGCACCCUCUUAAGAAAACUCCUGGACUUUGAGUUGAUGGGCAGGUACUGAUGCCAACCCACAGCUUCCCCAGUUCAAGACUAGCUGGGCACUUUAUCACCAUGUUCCCCUUGAUGAUACAUUGUCUGGACAUCAGUGAAACUAAUAUUGUUUGUAUGAUAAAAUAAGAUAAAAGAAGUUUGUAAUAUGAUGUUGCAUAGUGUGUUAAUAAAAAAAAAGAAAGAAAAGAUGCCAUGGUUUUGGUUUUAAUUGUGGAAGAUUACAGAAUUUUAUCAUAACAAUUAGAAAUUACAAGAUGAGUACAAUUUUGAAUUACAAUAUUCAACUGUAAUUGUCUCCUGUAAAAUUGAGUUGCAGUAAAUAUAAAUUAUAAUAAAUUACAGAAUUUUACUGUAAUAAAUCACAGUAGCACUGCUGUAUAAAUACAGGACUCUAUUGUAUUAAAAAAACAAUAUAUUACCUGUAUAUUACUUGUUGUAAAUUCACGGCAAUUAGUUGCCAGGAAUUUCCUGUAAAAUUACAAUAAAUUUUUAACAGUGCAUGUCAUGUGUGUUUUUAGAGAAGGCUAAUCAGAUUGAUCUAUAGCACUUGUCCUCUCUGUAAGAUCUCACAUGCAAACUCUCCUGUGCUCUCUGUAUGUGUGUUGGCUUUGAAAGCUCCCCGAUUUAUUAUUCUAUUGUUCUCACGAAACGAGUCUUUCACACCUCCGCCAGGUACGACACAUUAUCCACAUUAUUCUUUUAUCCAUGUCAUUAAAUGUGGUAUUUUCACAUGCUCUCAGAUGGAACAACAUUUACAACAAAGAGCCAUAGUUCACGGAGAAGCUACGCAAACAGCUGUCAUUAUCACACCCGGUUUCUUCGAUUUAAUGAUCAUGAAAUUAAAUUGUCUAGGAUGUUUUUGUUGUAACGUGUCAGUGAACGGCGGCUCUGUGUAGUAAAUGUUGAUCCACCUGAAAGCAGGUGAUAAUUACUUCUGUUUGAUGUCCAUGAUACCUGUGGUUUACAGUGAAGAGAAACGAAGCAGGCUGUAGUGUUAGGGCCCGGUCUUUUCCCUCGAUGCGGAAGAACGAAGCGCCUUACAACAUGGAGGUAUUCUGUGUUGUGAGGAAACUUCUACGUUACACCCUACAUGUUCAGGACGGUUCAUGUUGAGUUCAAGUUUAGGUCCUUCGUUCAUUUUUGGACUUUGUUUGUAUGUAUGUUUGUUCAUUCAUACUAAAUACCAGGUGUUUCUGGUAAGCAGAGUCAUUCUACAGUGCAAGGUGUUAUUGGUGACAUGAAUAUGGUCUUAAGUAGUUUUAAUGAUCUUUAAUGUUGUAAAUACAUUUCUUUAUAUAAGUACUGGGGAAAUAAAACGGUUAGGCUGAUAGCUGUUUGGGAUAUAAAACAAACAAACAAAAAAACAUUAACCGGCUUAUCUUAUUACACAGAUGUAAUAAGUAGAUUCUAACUAAUUACUUUUUAUAACACUUGUUAUAACAUAAGUGUAACUUAGUUAUACCAACAACCGUUAUAGUUUUGAAAUACUUUAAGAUCAAAGUAUUAAAAAACAAACACCUGUUAUUUUGUACACCUUGUCUUGAAAUGUGGGUUAGAUAAUGUCUUUUUCUUAACAUUUUGUUGCUUUGUUGCAGGUGGAGCUGGCUUCAGAAAACCUUUUAUCCGAGACACCCACUGCACUUGUAAAGCAGGAUUGGGGCACUGUAAUCAUUUCCUAGGACUACUUUACACACGGGCUCACUACCUAAAAAUGGAGCAUAAAUCUGAGAUCAAAUGCCCAAACAAUGACCGCUUCAAAAACUGCUCAUAUUUGACAAGUGCAGCAGGGAACUUGACUCUGAAAAAGACCCACGAGUACUACUAUCAGAUUGUUGGACAAAUGGGGAUUGGUGGGUUUACCUGGUGUGGCUUUUUUGUAAAAUGCAAUAGUGAUUACCACCGUAUCCAUUUCAACAAAGAUGAAUGGGAGGAGCUGAAGUCUAAGCUUGAUUUGUUCUUUUUCAGCUGUUUCUUACCUGUUCUCUGCAACAGGAGACUGUAAACCAAAACAAAACCUCAAAUUACCUUUUGAAGUGUAUUUAAUUCUUAAAGGGAUAGUGCCAAACCUGCAUAAAUUAUUUUUUGUAUGCUGAACACAUUAGAUACUUUGAGGAAGGUGGGUAACAAAACAGUUGGCAAUAGGCACUGAUUUUCCAUAGUUUGGAAGAAAAAGUCAACGAUUAACUGUUUGGUUACUUGCAUUCCUCGAAGUAUUUUCUAUGUUCACUAGGAGAAACAAAUCAGUACAGGUUUGGAACAAAUUUAUGCUAAGCAAUUUAUGACCAAAUUUCCAAUUUGGAUAAACUAUUACCUUAAUGUAAAUACAUUGCAUUCUCUGUUAAAUAGUUUUUUAUUACUGUAAAUAUGACAAAUGAAGCUGUAUUCCUAUGAAAUGCAGAAUGUUUUAAUUCUCUCAAGCUUCAGACAUGUCUGUAAAUAAUUAAUAGUACAAAUGUUAUUACAAAGAGAAACUAAUUAAAAAGGUACAUUUUUAUAUUGAAAUGUUUUUGUAACUAAAAUGUGGUAAGAAUUACAAUAUGUAUAAAUUCAGUAUUAUAAAAAUCGUAUCAUUUUAUUUAAAAAUUAAUUUUCUGAAAUA